AUGAGAUGUGGAUUGAACUGGAUUUUUAUUUUUUCCAUUUUUCAAGGUGUCCAUUGUGAUAUUCAACUGGUAGAGUCUGGGGGAGAUGUGAGACAGCCUGGAGGAUCCCUGAAACUCUCCUGCAAAGCUUCUGGAUUCACCUUCAGUGACUAUUGGAUGAGCUGGAUCCGCCAGGCUCCUGGGAAGGGGCUGGAGUGGAUCUCAGAAAUCAAUCAAGAUGGCACUAGCACAGGCUAUGCAGACUCUGUGAAAGGGCGAUUCACCAUCUCCAGGGACAAUGGCAACAGCCUGUUGCACCUGCAGAUGAAUUCCCUGAAAGCUGAGGACACAGCCGUGUAUUACUGUGCAAGAGGCACAGUGAGGGAAAGGAGUGAGAGAGCAGACAUAAACCUCCUCCUAAGUGGAGACCUUGAGAAUACUGGCUUAGAGAGGGAGCUUAACAACAAAUGA